UACGGAGGGUGCAAGCGUUAUCUGGAUUCACUGGGUUUAAAGGGUGCGUAGGUGGGCAGGUAAGUCAGUGGUGAAAUCUCCGAGCUUAACUCGGAAACUGCCAUUGAUACUAUCUGUCUUGAAUAUCCUGGAGGUGAGCGGAAUAUGUCAUGUAGCGGUGAAAUGCUUAGAUAUGACAUAGAACACCAAUUGCGAAGGCAGCUCACUACGGGAUUAUUGACACUGAGGCACGAAAGCGUGGGGAUCAAACAGG
rnacentral:rRNA from 1 species